rnacentral:lncRNA from 1 species
CUUUGCCUGGCACAAAUAAUUCCUAUGAAUCAGGUUGAGCAUCGAAAGGGAACAUAGCUGGAAGAUGGAUUUUCUUCCAAGAGCAGAGAAAUGAAAGUGAUCACAGGAAGGGAUGGAAGGCAUCAAGGAAAGUCAGUAUGUAGAUAAGAAAACUAGGGAAAAAAACAAAAUUGAAAGCCAGGAAUAGCUGAAGCAAGUCAUAAAUGCACAGCACCAGCUCUUAGGGCAGGCCUGGGGUAGGGUCAUCUCCACAUAUUAGAGCCAUCCUCUCACUAGGUGCUACUGGAUGCUAAAAUCUUAUGAGCAGAAGCAGUUUUCAGGUUUUCUGCUGGAAAGGUAGCUUUUGGGGGAAAGAGGUGUUUUGAUUUCAUUUGUCUUCUCACUAUAAGAGUAUUUAAAGGGAAAAAACCUAUUUAUAAUGAGUAGAAUACCAUGCCUUACCCCAAAUAAACUUCCAUUUUGAAUGGUUGUUCCUAGAAUAAGAAACACCAAAUAAUUUUCAGUGUGCUUGAUUUUUAUAUUUGAGGCAUAUGAAAUUUCAAAAUCACAAAGGGGGUAAUUUUAACAGAUUUAAAAUUGAUAGUCUUCUGUUGAUCUAUAUUUAUAAUUAUUUAUCCACACACUAUGUGCUCCUAAAAUAAAAUGUUUGAAGUUUUUUAUUCAAAUGUGAUAAGACCAAAACUGAACUCACUGUUCCUUCGCCCACCCCAAACCUUCUUCUCUCUUAAACCUCUUCUUGGGAAAUGGCACCACACAGGCAAAUGCUAAAGCUGGAAUGAGGGUAUCCUGGCUUGUCUCCUUUGCUUUCUGCAUGUAAUUCACUCUUUCAACUAACAUUUACUAAGUGCCAGUCAUUCUGCUAGUCUUCCAGGGAACCUGGAGUUAGGAAUAUGAGAUUGAAGGGCCAGGGAUUUAGCUCCGUGGUUCUGGUGCCUGCCGCAUAAGCGCAAGGUCCUAAGUUUGAUCCCUGGUACAAAAAAUAUAUAUAUAUGAGAUUGACAUUAAUUGGAUGGUCUCACCAGUGAAUGUACAAGUUACAGAUGGAGAGAAAGUUUGGAGGAAAAGGAGCCCAACUCUGGGGGAGAUGCACAGGACUUUGGACUUCCCUGGAAUGUGGCCCUUAUUUGGACUCUGGUUUCUGUAUGCAAAGGGUUUUGAUAAAGAGCCGGUGAUGGAUUCAAGGUGUUUUCAAAAGGAAUACAGCUAUGCCAAUUCUGUCUCCACCUGUUCCCUACUAUACAUUCCCUUUCCUCCAUCCCAUGACCAUUGCUGGUAUGAGCCUCUGUCAGCUCCCCCCUGGG